UCCCUGGUGGCUUAGACGGUAAAGCGUCUGCCUGCAAUGAGGGAGACCCAGGUUCGAUCCCUGGGUCGGGAA
rnacentral:tRNA from 1 species